rnacentral:rRNA from 1 species
GUAGUCCACGCCCUAAACGAUGUCGACUGGAUGUUGGGUGCAACUUGGCACUCAGUAUCGAAGCUAACGCGUUAAGUCGACCGCCUGGGGAGUACGCGCGCAAGCGUGAAACUCAAAGGAAUUGACGGGGGCCCGCACAAGCGGUGGAGUAUGUGGUUUAAUUCGAUGCAACGCGCAGAACCUUACCUGGUCUUGACAUGUCGAGAACCCUGCGGAGACGUGGGGGUGCCUUCGGGAACUCGAACACAGGUGCUGCAUGGCUGUCGUCAGCUCGUGUCGUGAGAUGUUGGGUUAAGUCCCGCAACGAGCGCAACCCUUGUCCUUAGUUGCCAGCACGUAAAGGUGGGAACUCUAAGGAGACUGCCGGUGACAAACCGGA